GUCACUUUCAGGAAGCGUAUGUUGUGCUCUCUUCCCCACCCCCUCCGCCCCCCAAUUUGCCCAAGACACUUGGGAGUGGGUUAUAAAACACAUAGGUGCCCCAGGAGGGUGCCCGAGCAAGGCUGAAGGAGACCCUCCAGGGGGGAGGGGUGGUUGUUUACCAAUUAAGAAAGAAACAACCCCAAAAAGCUCUGGGCGGAAUUUCAAAUUGUCGGAUUUCUAAGUAGCCAGCACCCCCCCCCCUCCCCACCUCCAGCGUAUUUCUUUCUUUCCUCCCCUCUCCCGGCCUGCUUUCCCUCUUUGUUGCCAAGCUCAGACGUCGCUGCUGAAACCCAGCCCAGCGCCCGCGAAGCCCGGAAACUUCCAGCUCCGCGACCGGGGCGGAAAGUUGGGGUCGCAAGGCCAGGGUGACAGCGGCGCCCCAAGGGCCGGGCGCGGCGGGGACCCGGGGCGCCGCCCGUCGCGGCCUCGCUCUGCCCGGCCGCGCCGGGACCUCGGACAGUCCAGGGGCCGGACGUGAACUUGACCGCGCGGGGCUCCCCGGGACGACCCGGCAACAGGACUGCCCCGCCCCCACGUCCUCGGAGGAGCCUCCGUGCCCUCUCAGCCUGUGCCCACAGAGCUCGCUGUGUAGGACGCAGAAAGCGAAUCUGAACUUGAACUUUCUUCCUGUCCCAAGCAGUACAGUCAACCUCCAGGUACGAAAACCUGGGCCUGUUGCUGCACAGAGGGCGGGCUGCAGAGAGGACGGGCUGUGCCUCCAGCCCGGGGGCCCUGGGAGACUGACCUCGUCUCCCGGCAUCCUCAACUUCCUCACUCAUAAAAUGGGCUCAGUACUGGCUCUGACUCAGUGGGAUCGUGGGGAGGAUGGCGAUACCCGCGUGCACACUCAGCGUGGUACCAGCACACAGUAGGCACUCAGUAUGCGUUCACUGCUCUAUCGGACCGCAGUCUGGGUAGACCCUGCCGCUGGCUCCCCUCACAAACCACCUGCUUCUGGGGCCGCUCAGGAUUCUGUUUCGCCAUUUCAUGUCAACCCUCAAUUGCUUGCCUCUCCCCGCUUCCUUUGUUUAUUUUCUUCUCCUCAACGAAAGCAUCGCUGAGCCUCCCCCCGUGUCGACAGCCCUGUGCUGAGCACUGGGGAUCGAGAAGUGAGUCUGAUACACAAGGUACCUUGAGAAGCUGCUGGAGGCUCUGUGCAGCUAUGACACCGGGGUGAGGUUCUCUGGGCUAAUUUCCCAUCCAGAGAGGGUGUUUCCUGCACAGUGCUCCUGCUGGCAGCCCUGCAGUCUUUGUUGAAUGCCUCCAGAGACGAGCAGCUCACCACUUCCCCGGUGGUGUGUCUGCGGAAGCCUCGUUGGUAUCCCCGAAACUUGACUGUUCGGACCGGGUGUAGACAGGACUACAGCAGUGGCUCUGGGUCUGAGGCGCCUGGUUUUACAGGGGGGAGGGGGAUACACACACCUGGUAAGAGGGUCCUAAAAAGUGGGUGAGGUGCUCGUCUUAGAAGGGACGGAUGCGUGUUGUUAUGAAACAGAGCCCCGUUUCCCGCUUUUGCCGGUAGCCUCUGUAGCAGGAAGACGACAGGGCUCUCUGAGCGGGACAUUAACCAAACAUAGUACAAAAAGCUGGUAACUGCACUAAGGAAGCCGGGGAGCCAAGUGGAGGCGUCCGGAGGCCUUGGGUCGCCCGCCGGGACUCUGGCUGCACAAUCUGCAGAGCUCAGUGUGAGGGGAACGCAUGCGGCCCUUGUUCAGAAUGAUCAAGAAUUUCAAGAUGGUGACAGCAGGGCAUUAAACGAAGGGUGGGCCCUUCUGAGCACAGGGCCUUCCCUUUGUGACAGGUCACCAACCCGUGAGCCCGGCAGCACUCCUUGAACGCGCUCUUGCCGCGAGCGGAGGCCGGAGAGGACCCCCAGGCGGUCCCUCCAAGGAGCGUGACUCCUCUCCUGCAUUGCCUCUUCCUUCCAUCACUGAUGUUACAUGCUAAUUUUAGAGCGUUUUGAAUCCUCACCAAAGAAGAAAAAUAUUUUCAAUCACCUGGAAAACCCCGCUCUCGGAAAUAGCCAGUGGGAGCGCCUUCGGCAGCUUCCAACUUCCACAAUUUGAAACAAAAUUACCAUUUUAGCUUCUUCGGGUAAUAUGUAUCAUUUUAUCUCCUGCUUGUUUCACUAAAUAUUUUAUCACUGCCCCAUUCCCAAGUCAGAAGAUCCCAUUCUUGCAACGGUUGAUUGUUAAUGACUAAUAUUCCGUUGGAUACAUCUUUUUUAACAACCCUUGUUAUUGGAUGCCGGCUAUUUCCCGUUCUCUCUGGUAGAAACAGCACUUUGAGGAAUGCCUGUGUGCACAUUUCUGCCGAUUUCCUAGGAGAGCAAAGGCUCUUAGGUCCCAGAAGCCUCUUGGGGCGGGGGGGUGUCUCUGAAGUGCCUCCUUGGCCACGGUCUCCGGAUGAGGACCCUGGGCCCAGGGAGCAGAGGCCCCGGCCCUAGAACCUCCUGCCUGGCCUAUCGUGAGAAGGACAGAUUAAUGAUAAUGAGGCGGAAGAUGGCCCCUUAUCCCACCGAACUGUGGACCGGAUUUCGGGGUCUGGGCUGCCUCGGUCACUAAGCCCGCCAGGCUGGGAUGCAAUAACAUAAGGCUUAGCGGGGUGCCCUCUCUUGGGCAACACUCGAACAUGGCGGCGUGGAAAAGCAGGAAGAAGGGGGGAGGAGGGGCGUGGGGAGGAAAAGCAGAAGCCGGGAGGUGAGGUGAGAGCCCCCUUAGGAGAGGAGGGCUCUGCGGGGCAUUUGGUCACUUGGCCGAAGACUCCAGAGGGCGAGGAUGAGGUCUGUCAACCGCAGCCCAGCAUGGCCCGCCACCGAUGCGCAGCGGACGUUGUGUGGCGUGGAUACGGAGGCGGGCUGCACCCCCAGCCUCGCUCAGAGGCGUCUGGACGUGUGGGGGAGGAAGCGAGGUGGUGUGUGAGUGUCCUAUCGCUGCCGUAACAAAGGUCACUGACAUUGGCUCCACCAAGGCAAGCUCAUUAUUGUGGAGCUCAUUAUUGUGGAGGCUGGGAGUCCGCAAUGACUCACGGGGCUAAAACCAAGGUGCUGGCAGGCCCGGUUCCUUCUGGAGCCCCCCCCCCCCCCCCCCCCCCGGGGAGAAACCUUGCCUCGGCCUUUUCUAGCCUCUAGAGGUGCCCACAUUCCUUGGCUUCUGGCCCUUCCUCCAUCUCCAGGGAGAGACUGCACCCCUCCUUCUCUGAUCACCGUCGGGCCAGGGGCUCCAUGUUCAAGGGUUUGUGUCAUUCCAUCGGACCCAACUGGAUAAUGCAGGAUCCGGGCCCUUAACUCGUCCACCCGCCCAGUGGAUUUGGACUCUUCUGGGUUUGCUCCUGGGCUGAGUAAGUUCCUGCCAGAGGCCCUGUUAUUGGCUCCCCACUUGGCCUACCUCCAGGACAGAGGUUCUGGGAGUUCAGGCAGGUUCUCUGCUCAGCCAGGAGCUGCUUGGCCUCACCUAAACCCCACAGGGCAGGCAUCGUGGGCGCUAUUAUCCCCAUUUCACGGGUGGGCAAACUGAGACCCGGCGAGGCUGGAUGAUUUGCUUAAGGCCACACAGCUGGCGGGGGACAGAGCUGACCCUCAGUAAUGGUGGAUCCCAAACCCAGGGCCCCACGGGGCCUGCCACCUGCCCCUAGGAAUACAGCCUUCCCUGGCUCUCCCUUAACCACAGCCCUUGAUUCUUUCCAGAAGGGCGGCAGGCCUUCCUGCCCCUUUUCCAGAACAGGCCGGCUGUUCUCAGGGACAGAAAGGCCACAGGGCGGCCCUUGGCAGGGGGCUCGUGUGAGCGCGAAGGGAUGUGGGAGCCUCACCAGGCGGCGGGGCCUCACCGCGGCUUGCGUGUUGGUAGGCGAAGGUGUGGAUAGCAGAAGACACACUUGUCCCAACCUGGAGGGCUGCCGCCCUGCCAGGUCCUGCUCCCCGCUGAGGGCCUUUGGGACGUCUCUUAACACAGAACCAGCACAGCACGUUGACCUGACCAGUGCAGAGUUGCUCUGAAUAAGGAAGUGAGGAAGAGAACGUUCCUGGCUCAGCAUCUGAAGCUGGGCUGGCCCUCCAUACACAAAGGCAGGCAAGGGCGUGCACCCCACGGCAGGGACUGUGCAGAGGGCACGGCCCGCCUUCCCUCCAAGCCACCCCCUGCGGCUGAUCCCCCCACCCCCGGGGGCCUGAGCCUGGCACGGGAGGAGUUAAGCGGCUGCCGCGGGCACCUUGGCACACGGAGCUGCCCAGAAUGUCCGGCUCCCCACCCCCACUGCUUUUCUUCCCUUUUUUUGCCUUUUUCCUUCUUAAUUAAUCAUACGCUGCUGCCCAAUUUAAAUAUGGAAAUGCCCAGGCCUGGCGAUGCAAUUAUUCCCCAGGCCAGGCGGGCUGUCCGGCCCUGGGCUGCGGGGAGCAUCGUGGCAUCGCCUCCUUUCUGGUGUGUGUGAAAUUAUGUGCACAAAAGGCGUCUCCUUAGAUAUCUGAGUGUGUGAACUAACUAAAUAAAUAAGGGCUUUUGUUUGUU